rnacentral:lncRNA from 1 species
UCCAGGGUAGCUCUGACGUCCGUGGAAGCACGGCAAGGUCACCCAACGGCUCUGAGAUGCCACCGUCAGUGUCAAAAGCCCUAAGCAGCGUCUCUUAACCCGUGAACCAUCAGCUCCCGGCCCCUGCGGGCGUCGCGGCCGGAAGGGUUCGACGGCUCGAUCCGGGGCAGCGCGUCCCAUGCCCCCGGGUCGGAGCGUAGCCGAGUCGGCAAUAGGCUGACGGCGUGGAGGAAGAAUUAACGGCAAUUACGUUGAGUCACAGGGUUAAACACCCUCUAAAUCCUCUUUAAUUGCAUGGUAGUACUUAAUUACACGGCAACUAAAAUGUAAGCAUAAAAAUAAAUAUGAUUUUCUUUUUAUCUUCGGUCGGGGCACCGUGCUUGCAGUAAUUAAUUGGGGCGGGUAAGGUCCGGCGCUGUUAAAAGCAACCGCUGAACCCUUCCUUGCCUCCCCGCGGCAGCAUCUCAGCCACGUGUGCAAUUGAGAUGCAUAUGUCUAUAUAAUUUUUUUUUUUCUUUUCCCUUUUCUCUCAUUAUUCAGCUCGGGUGACGGCGGCAAGGCCUCGUGCGCCUGUACCUACCGCUUGGCUGUCCUGUUUCAUCUGCGUCUCGGGGNNNNNNNNNNNNNNNNNNNNNNNNNNNNNNNNNNNNNNNNNNCCCCGCCCCCCUCGGCUUGAAACCCCCCCCCCCAGCCGCUGGCAAAAGGCGGCCGCCUUCAUCUAAAGAUGGGAAAGUGCAACGAAGUGCAGAAUUAUGCUGCAGACAAGCGUGUGUGUGUGGAGGGAAGAGAAGCACUAGAGGGAAAGCAGAGCCGCUCUGGGGGCGCAGGGCUAAGUGCUCGCGAAAGCUCCCGAGGUUAACGCGUGCCGGGAGGAGAAUACAAGGAAGAUGGGUCCUUGGAGAUCGCCUGCUAAAUUACUCCUGUUUUACUCCUGCACAGCACUGAGAGCUUUGUGAGCCCCUGCUGAUGUUAUGGUAGUGCAAAUCAAGGGCCAUCACAUCUGGGGCCUUUCCUCCCUCACUGGCAAUUUUCUGUUCCUUUGGC